CCUACGGGUGGCAGCAGUGGGGAAUAUUGCACAAUGGGGGAAACCCUGAUGCAGCGACGCCGCGUGAGUGAAGAAGUAUUUCGGUAUGUAAAGCUCUAUCAGCAGGGAAGAAAAUGACGGUACCUGACUAAGAAGCCACGGCUAACUACGUGCCAGCAGCCGCGGUAAUACGUAGGGGGCAAGCGUUAUCCGGAUUUACUGGGUGUAAAGGGAGCGGAGACGGCAGCACAAGUCUGGAGUGAAAUGCCGGGGCUUAACCCCGGAACUGCCUUGGAAACUGGGCAGCUAGAGUGCAGGAGAGGUAAGUGGAAUUCCUAGUGUAGCGGUGAAAUGCGUAGAUAUUAGGAGGAACACCAGUGGCGAAGGCGGCUUACUGGACUGUAACUGACGUUGAGGCGCGAAAGCGUGGGGAGCAAACAGGAUUAGAUACCCUGGUAGUC
rnacentral:rRNA from 1 species